rnacentral:misc_RNA from 1 species
AAGUCGUAACAAGGUUUCCGUAGGUGAACCUGCGGAAGGAUCAUUAACGAAUAUCUAUGGCGUUGGUUGUAGCUGGCUCCUAGGAGCAUUUGUGCACGCCCGUCAUUUAUAUCAUCUUUCCACCUGUGAACUAUCUGUAGUCUGGAUACCUCUCGCUUUGGUGACAAGGCGGAUGCAAGGAUUGCUGCGUCGAAAGGCCAGCUCUCUUUGAAUUUCCAGGUCUAUGUUUUUUACAAACUCCAUUUGAAUGAUGUAGAAUGUAGUCAAUGGGCUUUCAAGCCUGUAAAAAACUAUACAACUUUCAGCAACGGAUCUCUUGGCUCUC